rnacentral:rRNA from 1 species
GAUGAACGCUGGCGGCGUGCCUAAUACAUGCAAGUCGAGCGAACAGACGAGGAGCUUGCUCCUCUGACGUUAGCGGCGGACGGGUGAGUAACACGUGGAUAACCUACCUAUAAGACUGGGAUAACUUCGGGAAACCGGAGCUAAUACCGGAUAAUAUAUUGAACCGCAUGGUUCAAUAGUGAAAGACGGUUUUGCUGUCACUUAUAGAUGGAUCCGCGCCGCAUUAGCUAGUUGGUAAGGUAACGGCUUACCAAGGCAACGAUGCGUAGCCGACCUGAGAGGGUGAUCGGCCACACUGGAACUGAGACACGGUCCAGACUCCUACGGGAGGCAGCAGUAGGGAAUCUUCCGCAAUGGGCGAAAGCCUGACGGAGCAACGCCGCGUGAGUGAUGAAGGUCUUCGGAUCGUAAAACUCUGUUAUUAGGGAAGAACAAAUGUGUAAGUAACUGUGCACGUCUUGACGGUACCUAAUCAGAAAGCCACGGCUAACUACGU